rnacentral:rRNA from 1 species
GGCUCCAGCCCUAUCAGCCUGAAGGCGCCCGAUCUCGUCUGAUCUCGGAAGCUAAGCAGGGUCGGGCCUGGUUAGGAUCUUGGAUGGGAGACCACCUGGGAAUCCCGGGUGCUCGAGGCU